GACACCAAAGUUAGCAACUACUGCAAGUUUGACAGCCAACUAUUAACCACCUUCACCUCCUCUCUAUACAUCGCUGGCCUUAUUGCUUCCUUGUUUGCCUCCUCAGUCACCAGAGCCUUCGGCCGCAAAGCAUCAAUUCUUGUCGGCGGCACAGCUUUUCUUGCUGGUUCAGCCCUCGGAGGAGCCGCAUUUAACAUUUACAUGCUGAUAUUUGGGCGCGUGUUGCUUGGUGUUGGCAUUGGUUUUGCAAACCAAGCAAGUGUUUGACUAUUAUUAUUAUUAUUAUUAUUAUUUGGUUGGUUGAUCAGUUAGUUUUAAUUUGUUGGUUGUAGUCAGUGCCACUAUAUCUCUCAGAAAUGGCACCACCAAAACACAGAGGAGCAUUCAACAUUGGCUUUCAAGUUUGUAUUGCCAUUGGUGUUUUAUCCGCUAAUCUUCUCAACUACGGCACCCAAAAGAUCAAGGGCGAUUGGGGCUGGAGAAUAUCCCUAGCGAUGGCUGCAGCGCCUGCUUCAAUACUAACAUUAGGUGCACUUUUCAUGCCAGAAACACCAAACAGCAUAAUCCAGCGCAGCAAUGACCACCAAGAGGCUAAAAGGAUGCUGCAGCGUGUGCGCGGCACAGCUGAUGUUGAAGCUGAACUCAAUGAUCUUAUCAGAGCAAGCUCCAUCUCAAAAACUAUCAACCACCCAUUUAACAAAAUCAUACAAAGGAAAUACAGGCCUCAGCUAGUAAUGGCGAUACUGAUACCAUUUUUCCAACAAGUGACAGGAAUCAAUAUCAUUGGGUUAUACGCUCCUGUACUACUCAGGACGCUUAAACUAGGUGAAAGUACAUCACUACUCUUGUCCGCAGUCGUGACUGGUGGCAUAGGUACAGUUUUAACAAUCACAUCAAUGAUUCUAGUCGAUAAACUUGGCAGGAAAAUAUUGUUUUUAGUUGGGGGUAUACAGAUACUUGUUUCACAAGUAAUUAUUGGUUCAAUCAUGGCUGCUGAGCUCGGUGAUCACGGGGGAUUGAGCCAAAGUUAUGCUUACUUAAUUUUAGUCCUGGUAUGUGUAUAUUCAGCCGGGUUUUCAUAUUCAUGGGGGCCAUUGGCAUGGUUGGUUCCGAGCGAAAUUUUUCCAUUGGAGAUUAGAUCAGCAGGGCAAAGUAUUACCGUUGCAGUUACCCUUGUGUUUAUUUUCUUCAGUGCGCAAACACUUUUAGCGAUGCUUUGCCAUUUUAAGGCAGGGAUUUUCUUCUUCUUUGGAGGAUGGGUAAUUGUGAUGACUACAUUUAUGCACUUAUUUUUGCCAGAGACUAAGAAUGUGCCAAUUGAGCAGAUGGAUAAAGUCUGGAGACAACAUUGGUUUUGGAAGAAAUACGUGGGUGAAGUGGAUGAAGAGGGUUAGAUGUAAGAGGCUUGAUUUGCCUCCAAGGCGUGAUCGGAUUGGUAACAGCACGAAACUUGUGGCUGCUGACCACCGAAUUCAAUCCUUAGAGGUAAUAAUAGAGAAAAAAAAAAUUAUUUAAGCUUUGCCCACCCCUUACUUUAUUAAAAAAAAAAAAAUUGAUUUCUACUUAAUUUUGCCUGUAAGUUUCAAACUUUCAAUAUUUCAGCUCUGCGUUUUAUUUGACUUAUCAAUUCGCUGUAAUUCGUUUGUGGGAGAUUCUUUUAUGCUGUGUUUAAAUAUAAGCACUAAGCCCAUCAAAAUCCUUUACUUGAGAAAAGCUGCAAAGUCCAUCAAAAUCUAUAGACAUGUAAUGGUCAAACACGUUGAAUAACAACCCACUUGAAGUAAAUAACACUUGAAGCAAAUAAUCACUUUCCUUUUAACAAAAAAUAUUUUAAUAACAAAAAAUUUAUUUUUUUGAAUGGCGUUUUGAGGGAACAUUGAUUUAUUUAAAAGAAUUUCGUGGGCAAAGUGGAUGGGCAUGGCAACAUGGAAGAGAAAUGAUUUUCAUUUUAUCGAAAUGAGGAAUAAGUUAAAAGAUAAAAAUAAAUACAUAUAUAUUUAAAUAUUUUAUUUUUAUUUUUUUUUUAUUCAAUAAAUUAUAUAUAUAUAUACACACACAUUUUUAAUUUGAUCUUUAUUUUAAUAAAAUGAAGAAUUUUUUCCUGGACCUACGUGUAUUUAGAUCAAUAAAGGGUAAAAAAAAGAAAGUCCUCUUUGAUUUCAUGACUAAAUGUUUGGUAGGACUCAGCAGUUUUAAUUGAUAAUUGGCCACUGUCUCUUUAUCAAUGCAGUUGUGAAUUACACAUAGCACCUCACAUUAAUUAGUCUUCAAUAGUCAACAACCACAACCCCACUUACAGCCAUGAUGAUUACAAGGUGACAAUGCUGAUAGAAAUAUCUCAAUUUUUUUUUAUCUCAAAUUCUAUCUUAAAUGAUAUAUUAUUCAUUUAUUGGUUGAUAUUUUUUACAAGAUUCAAGUGAAUUAAUUUUAUUAUUCUCACCGACCAAUUGAUAAAAAUCAUAUCAUUUAACAUAAUUUUUUAAGAUAAAAAAAUUUCAUAUGUGUAUCACUACUCCAUGCAAAAAUGUUAAAAUUGAAAGAUGAAAGAGUGCUAAUAGAAAUAACAGUACAUUGGAGGAGUUUAUAUGAUAAUUAAUUAUUUUUCAAUUAAUACAGUAACUCUGGUCGGAUAUGAAGUUAUUUCUUGCUGUUAAAAUCUUCUGUUUAGAUUCUCAUGAUAUUAGUGUUUUCUAUGCGCCUGAGUCAAGAAAGACUGCACGCAGCUACUUUUUAAACCUUCACUAUCUGCAAUCUUGAUCACAAAUUAACGACACUUCUAACUUUUCUCACUCUCCUUUCUCUCUUGCUGUGAGUGCUGAUUAGUUUUGAAGAUAAAGCAGCAGCCAAUAUGGCAGCAGGCUUAGCAAUAACUAGUGAAGGCGGGCGGUAUUACAACGGGAAGAUGACUGUAUUUGUUGUCUUGUCUUGUAUUGUUGCUGCCACUGGCGGGCUUAUUUUCGGCUAUGAUAUUGGAAUUUCAGGUUCUUUUUCCUGCUCAUAUCUCCUUUAUAAUAUAAUUCAUCUGGCCCUGAUGGGUCUAAAUCCCCCAAUCAUCUUUAAUCUUCUCCAUCCGCUCCAUCCGAUCAAUGACCUUGGAUUAGGCUGGCUUGCGGAGUGCCAUAUAAAAUCGGUAGAAACUUAUAAUUACAAUCAGCUAAAUUAAACUUAGCUGCCCAGUGCAUAUGAAUGUUUAUCAAACAACUUAAUUGUCAAGUAAAGAUUACUAUUAAUUCUGCUGUACGGCCAAGGCGGAUGUACGGUACAGCAGUGCUUCUCGAGAGCUUUUCCUUCUGCCUAGUUAACCAUUUCUUUUUUUUGAACAAAAUGGUUAAGUAAAGAUGCUCGCUUGCAAUUGCUCAUGCAAAUGUGAUUUUUUUUAAUGAUUUAAUAUGAUGAUUUUCUUUUCGUGAUUAUUCUCUUUUGUUACAGUUUGAAAAAUGUGUGUGUGUGAUUUUCAAAGAUCAGGGGAAGUCUCUGAAGUCUGAAGUGAUACAUUGCUUUUUGAAAAUAAAAUAUUAGUUGAUGAUAUUAUAUAUUAAGUUUACGAGUAAUGAUAUAGAUACAAACUCUUGUAUAAACUUAUUUUGUACAAACUGAUGUGUCGUUAAUUCAUUAGUUGAAUUAAAUAUCUCUUGACUCACAUGAUUUAUUUUUAUUAUUUUAUAUUUUUAUUCAACUAAUGAAUUAAUGUCACGUCAGUUUGUAUAAGAGUUUGUGGUUGUAUCAUUACUAUAAUUUUACAUUGUUUUUUGAAAAAAGAAAAUAUUAGUCGAUGAUAUUAUAUGUUAAUUUUAACUUUUAAUUAAGAAACUUUUGAAUUGUCAACUCCUGAAAUAGUUGGAGCUUUACAAAGGAUGAAGCAAAUGGAGAAACAUUAAGCAAAAUGAAUGGCGAUGUAGCCAUGGCUUCUGCAUAUAAUGAUCAUGAGAAUGGUAUUCACAUAGAAAAUCAUAGUGGUUCAGGCCGGAGUGGAGAUUUUAUGGAUGUUGAUUUGUUGGAGGAAGAGCCUUGUAUUAAGUGUAAUAGACGUGAUGAGAACCUGUUGGUUUGUAGUCAAUCUGGAUGCCUAAUUUCUGUACAUGAAAACUGCCUGAGCUGUGGAGUUGAAUUUGAUGAUGUGGGAAACUUUUACCGUCCCUAUUGUUGGUAUAAAUGUGAAUUGAUGAGGACAAAGGAGUUGAGGAAGAAGGCUAUGGAAACAAAGAAAAAGUUGGCAUGUUUUAUUGAUUCUAAAAGUUUUAGUGGUGAUAAAAAGAAGGAGAAUUGUAGAACAGAUAAAGCAAAUGAGCUGAGUAUAUCAUCUCUUCAUGAAGAGAGAAAUUACGGUUAUGGUGGUUGUGAGGAUCGAAUGGAUGAUGUUCAAGUUGAGGAUCUAAUUGUGGAAGUGGAGUUCGAGCUAGAGAAUGAUGGGGACAAUGCAAAGACAGCUGAUUCUUGUGACAGAUUUAAGAGGGCACUUGAAAGUCAGAGUGACCCUCUGGCUGUUCAUUCUCAUCCUGGAGACAAAAUAAAUAAUAGUCGAGAUAAAACACCUGGGAUUGGAUCACUUGUGAAUUAUACUAGUAAAGAAAGGCCCAGUGAGGAAAAUGUCUGUGAAACAUAUGAGCUUUAACUUUUAGAAGAUGGAGAAAUGAUACCAGUGGAAGAUUUAGGACAUGUCGAUGACAGUAGACAUGAGAAGAUUGUUUAAAACCAACUGCAAGAAGAGCCUUACACAGCUUUAUUGUGUUGGAGAAGAAAAUAUUGUGGAUAUUUUACUUAAUUUAUGGAAAGGGGAUAUACCUGACACUGAAAAAUUGAGGGAAGAAAAGCAAGAAGAAGAGAAUGUAGACCCCAGAACUUUGAGAAAUGAAAUGUCUGAUUCUGAUAUAGAGCCAAUGUCGAUGCGCCUGAGGUGUGUUGCAUGAAGUAGUAAGAAAGCACAAUCUCGGGGUUGUUGAUUCACCAAAAAAGUUGCCCUCAUCAAAAGGUGCCAACCCAGUGAAAAAAAAAUCUCAGAAUGUUGACUUAUCUUAUAAGUUAUCCCUACUAAAAGGUGCUAAUCCAGAGAAAAUGGCUCGGGCUCGAAUUGAGAAAUCAACUGCCUCCAAAAAGUCUACACAAGCUUCCAGUCCACAAGAAUAAUUCAAAUUAUAUGCUGAUAAUUGAUAUCUCCAUGAGCAAUGCACAUGUACAGAAGAUCGGAAUUAUGGGAUGUCUUGGACCCCAAGCUUUGAAAAUGAGUAAGUGACCUUUAUUUAGGCAAACUAUAUUCUUUAGCCCCUCAGUUUCAUAGUUCUCACAUAUUGCCAGCUGCGUUAAUAUAGUUUGUUGUUUCCAUAUGCCCCCGAAUGAAAAUUCUGGUUUCACCAUACACAGUCACCGGAACACUCAGCGGAUUUGAAAGAGCCAUUACUUACUAGUAUAUAACAUGCGUUGAUGGAAUGAGAUUUGUUGUUUCCAGACUACUAUAACUAAAAAAAAAGAAUUGCGGAGCAUAUAUAUUAUAUGGUAACAUGAAUAAUUGGUUUAUUAAAACAUGGUGCUUGUCAUAAAACUGAAAUAUUUGGUAGUACUUCAUGGGUUAUUGCGUUUAAAUGGGGCUGUACCGGGACAUUCAAUGAAUGAAACAAGUCAAGAAGGCGAAAUAUGGAGCUGGUACCGGGACUUGGAAUGAAUGCAACAUGUAAGUCAAGAACGUGCAAGAACUGCCAUCUUAGUCUCCUUGACUUAUUGUUACAUUUUCCAUGUAACUGCGGAAUCAUCAAUUCCAAGGAAAAAUUUUGUGUAGUCUAAGGGUCCACACAAAAUAGUAACGGGUCGACGGCAUUGGCACUGCAUUUUAAUCUUAUUCAAUGAUAUUCAAGGGAUCAUGUGUAUCCCAUCAUCUGUUAUUCCAAUAAAUUCAUAGGAUCAUAUGUGUCACAUCAUUUGUAGUUCCAAUCAAUUCAAGGGAUCAUGUGUAUCACUUCAUUUGUCAUUCCAAUGGGAUGAGCUCAGUUGGGUUAAUUUGGCCUCUUGCAGCAUAAACAAGAAAUUUCGAUCGCGAUAGAUCCGACUCAUGGUCACACCAAUUUUACAUACAAAAUCAAUAUUUGUUAGUUUUUGGUAAUAUUGUAAAGAAUAUAUAUACCCCGAUUCGUUUAACUAAAAUAAAUAGAAGAAGUCAUCAAUAAUCCAUUUGGUCUCCUAUAGUGAGCGUAAACAAUAUUAAUUUGAUUAAUUAGAGACAUACGAAAUCUGAUAAAAUCUGAUCAAUUAAACAUAUAUAUAUUACUUGAUUGAAUCUCAUCUAUCAUUAUUGUUUGUCUAUUGAAGUUUUACAAUAUUAAAUUAAUUAGGUUACCCCAUGUCGUAGCAUUUCGUUUCUCGAAAAAAUUUGGACUAUCUUCGUUGAAUGACUUUAUUCGUACAACAAUCAAUAAAAUGAUGAGAUGUAUAUGUUACUUGUAUUUUAAAAAUUUCAAUCAGUUAUACGUACGCUUUUAUGUCUUAAAUUCUCAUCAACGUGGAUAAAAACCAGCAAGUGAAUGUUAUUAAGUCAUGAAGUAUAUGCUUUCAUUUCGACCUUGUCUUCUUGCUUCUUCACAAUCUCAUUUUGGUUCAAUUAAACAAAUUACAAAUAAAUGCUUGUUACUAGCUAUUUUUAUGACCAAUCUCUGACCACCCCCUCCUUGCAAAUUCUUAUUCAUUGUGUGGGAGUAUAUUUUGUGCCGGAUUAUUUCCAUCUGCAGGAACAAUCCUCAGACUCCUCUGAUGGAGUAACCCUUCAGUCCUACUUUUAUGAACUAAACUUUCUUUCAUUUAGAGUUCAAGACAAAGGUUAAGAAAAUUAAAAAUGCAAUAAAAACAAAAACAAAAAUACAAAAAUAGUGGAAGGAUAUAUAAAAUUAAUGUUCUUCAAUUAAUUGGAUAAAAAAAUUUCAUGUUCUUAAUUAGUUUCACACCUCGGAUAGUUGAGAAAUUCAGAAUUCUUGCUUCUAUUACCAAGGGACAUGAACUCAUUGAUAUAAUAACUAUAUAGGCAACAAGCAAAGUGCGGACUGGAACGUUAUUCCUAUAACACUUUGACAUUGUUGUGAAAAAUUUUAAUAUACUCGCAAGCGCAUGAAUCUAAAAUUAGAAUAGUGGUAACGAGGUCGAACCACAUGGAUUGUUAUAAAUUGAAAAGUCUAAUUUAAAUCUAAUAUUGAUAUUAAUCCUAACCUAGUUGAGCAAAUUGAGUUUUUAAGAGAAUAAGAAAAUAAUUUUUAAAAAAAUGACAAUUCAAUAAGACAAAAAUUACUAAGGUUUCAGAAUGCACCAGCAUUCAACUAGUAAUUAUCUAAUUGUUAAUUAAUCCCCAAUUUUAGAGUUACUACUCAAAAUUAAUAUAUGUCAUCUCAUGGAUAUAAUAAUUAAGCCUAAUCAAAAGUAAUCUUAUGUAUAGGUUAUUUUUAUGCUUAAUAUUAUGAUAUUUGAGCAUCCUAUAUAAACAUAUUGAAUAAUAAAGAGUCAAAGUUUCAUAAGUACUCUGUGUAAACAAUUAAAUGAAAGAUACAGAAUCAAAGAUAAUCAUGUAUAAACUUUAUAGAUCCAAGUAUAGAUUUAGUCAAAUAUUAAUCUUAACAAUCAAUAAUGCAUGACAGAAUUAGUGAAAAAAAUUUAAUAACAUCCAACUAAUUAUGUGAAAUAAGAACUAUAAACAUUACAACACAUAUGUAGGGAAUUAAUUAAAUAAAAAGAUAAUUAUUUCAUUGAAUAGUAUUUCAUCCUUAAGCUCAAUAUAAGAAAAUUAGCUAGACAUACUUGAAUUGAGAGCAACAAAAUUAAUAAAAACCAUCCAUGGGAAUAUUGGAGCUCUGAUAUGGCUCUCGUCCUUUUCUUCUCUGUCUUGCGGCUACUGCUCCUGAAAAAGCCAAAAGUUUCGACUUAUAUAAUGUUACUGAUCGACCUAUUUCAUCCAAAGGCUAAAAGGCUUGGCUUUCUAAGCUUUGAUUUGAUCUUGCACGUGCUCUCCACUUAGAAUCACAUUAGGAUUUUCAUUCCUUUUUAAUGCCAUGCAUUAAAAUGGCAAUUGCUUCACACGUAAAUUUGAUGCAUCCCGUCUCAACUUGAAUUAAAUCUUAAUAAAUUAAUUCUUUUAAUUCUUUGUCCUUCAAUUGAUUCUCAAUUUAAUCUCUAUUGCUUCCUAAAUUAAACUUUUUUAUGCCCUCAAUUAAUUAAAAAUAACAAAUAAAAAUAACUGGCAAUUAUAUAAUUAAGGAUAAAAUAUGUCGAUAAAUUAUGUCCAUCAAACAUUUUACUUAUUUGAAAAAAGAAAAAAAAUGAAUGGGGAUUAUUCAAUUCUAUCAAUCCUUUUAUACAAUCACUUUGAAGGAAAGUGUUGUGAAAAUUUUAAUGUACUCGCAAGCGCACGAAUCUAGAGAUAGAAUAGUGGUAACGAGGUCGAUCCCACAGGGAUUGUUAUAAAUUGAAAAAGUCUAAUUUAAAUCCAAAAUUAAUAUUAAUCCUAACCUAGUUGAGCAAAUUGAGUUUUAAGAGAAAUCAAACUAAUUAAACUAAGGAAGCAAUUAAAAUAAAGGAGAAUUCAAUAAGAUAAGAAUUACCAAGGUUUCAGAAUCUACCACUAUUCAACUAGUAAUUAUCUAAUUAUUAAUUAAUCCCCAAUUUUAGAGUGACAACUCGAAAUCAAUCUAUGUCAUCUCAUGGAUAUAACAAUUAAGCCCAAGUAAUUAAAUCUAAUGUAGGUUCUUUUUCUGCUUAAUAAUAUGACAUCUAAGAAUCUCAUGUAAACAUAUUGAAUAACAAAGAGUCAAAAUUUCCUAAGCACUCCAUGUAAACAAUUUAAUGAAAGACAUAAAAUCAAAGAUAAUCAUGUAUAAACUUUAUAGAUCCAAGCAUAGAAUUAAUCGAAUAUUAAUCCUAACAAUCAAUAAUGCAUGACAGAAUUGAUGAAAAGAUUUUAAUAACUUCCAAUUAAUCAUGUGAAAUAAAAACCAUAAUCAUCAAAGAACAUAUAUAGGGAAUUAAUUAAAUAAAAAGAGAUAAUUAUUUCAUUGAAUAGGGUUUCAUCCUUAACCUCAGUAUAAGAAAAUUAGCUAGACAUACUUGAAUUGUAUUGCUUCCUUGUUUGCCUCCUCAGUCACCAGAGCCUUCGGCCGCAAAGCAUCAAUUCUUGUCGGCGGCACAGCUUUUCUUGCUGGUUCAGCCCUCGGAGGAGCCGCAUUUAACAUUUACAUGCUUAUAUUCGGGCGUGUGUUGCUUGGUGUUGGCAUUGGUUUUGCAAACCAAGUAAGUGUUUGAUUAUUAUUAUUAUUAUUAUUUGGUUUGUUGAUCCGUUAGUUUUAAUUUGUUGGUUGUAGUCAGUGCCACUAUAUCUCUCAGAAAUGGCACCACCAAAACACAGAGGAGCAUUCAACAUUGGCUUUCAAGUUUGUAUUGCCAUUGGUGUUUUAUCCGCUAAUCUUCUCAACUACGGCACCCAAAAGAUCAAGGGCGAUUGGGGCUGGAGAAUAUCCCUAGCGAUGGCUGCAGCGCCUGCUUCAAUACUAACAUUAGGUGCACUUUUCAUGCCAGAAACACCAAACAGCAUAAUCCAGCGCAGCAAUGACCACCAAGAGGCUAAAAGGAUGCUGCAGCGUGUGCGCGGCACAGCUGAUGUUGAAGCUGAACUCAAUGAUCUUAUCAGAGCAAGCUCCAUCUCAAAAACUAUCAACCACCCAUUUAACAAAAUCAUACAAAGGAAAUACAGGCCUCAGCUAGUAAUGGCAAUACUGAUACCAUUUUUCCAACAAGUGACAGGAAUCAAUAUCAUUGGAUUAUAUGCUCCAGUACUACUCAGGACACUUAAACUAGGUGAAAGUGCAUCAUUACUCUUGUCUGCAGUUGUGACUGGUGGUAUAGGCACAGUUUUAACAAUCAUAUCAAUGAUUCUAGUCGAUAAACUUGGCAGGAAAAUAUUGUUUUUAGUUGGGGGUAUACAGAUACUUGUUUCACAAGUAAUUAUUGGUUCAAUCAUGGCUGCUGAGCUCGGUGAUCACGGGGGAUUGAGCCAAAGUUAUGCUUACUUAAUUUUAGUCCUGGUAUGUGUAUAUUCAGCCGGGUUUUCAUAUUCAUGGGGGCCAUUGGCAUGGUUGGUUCCGAGCGAAAUUUUUCCAUUGGAGAUUAGAUCAGCAGGGCAAAGUAUUACCGUUGCAGUUACCCUUGUGUUUAUUUUCUUCAGUGCGCAAACACUUUUAGCGAUGCUUUGCCAUUUUAAGGCAGGGAUUUUCUUCUUCUUUGGAGGAUGGGUAAUGGUGAUGACUACAUUUAUGCACUUAUUUUUGCCAGAGACUAAGAAUGUGCCGAUUGAGCAGAUGGAUAAAAUCUGGAGACAACAUUGGUUUUGGAAGAAAUAUGUGGGUGACGUGGAUGAAGAGGGUAAGAUGUAAAAGGCCUAAUUUAUCCCCCAAGGGCGUAAUCGAGUUGGUAACAGCAUAAAACUUGUAGUUGCUGAUCAUCUAAAUUCGAUUAUGGGUGUACUAAGGGGGGAAAAUAAAAUAAAAAUUAUUUAGUCUUUACCCACUCCUUACUUUAUUUAAAAAAAAAAAAAAAAAAAAAAAAAAAAGACUCGAUUUCUACUUAAUUUUGCCUGUAAGUUUCAAACUUUCAAUAUUUGUGCUCUGCAUUUUAUUUGACUUAUUAAUUCGCUGUAAUUCUUUUGUCGGAGAUUCUUUUAUGCUGUGUUUAAAUAUAAGCACUAAGCCCAUCAAAAUCCUUUACCUGAGAAAAGCUACCAAGUCCAUCAAAAUCUAUAGACAUCCAAUGGUUAAACGCGUUGAAUAACAGCCCACUUGAAGUAAAUAACACCUGAAGCAAAUAAUCACUUUCCUUUUAACAAAAAAAAUUUUAAUAACAAAAAAUUUAUUUUUUUGAAUGGCGUUUUGAGGGAACAUUGACUUAUUUAAAAGAAUUUCGUGGGCAAAGUGGAUGGGCAUGGCAACAUGGAAGAGAAAUGAUAUUCAUUUUAUCGAAAUGAGGAUUAAGUUAAAAGAUUAAAAUAAAUACAUAUAUAUUUAAAUAUUUUAUUUUAUUUUUCAACAAAGUAUAUAUAUAUAUAUAUAUAUACACACACACUUACUUUUAAUUUGAUCUUUAUUUUAGUGAAAUGAAGAUUUUUCUCCGGGACCUACAUGCAUUUAGAUCAACAAAGGUGUUAGAAAAAAGGUCCUCUUUGACUUGAUGACUAAACGUUUGGUAGGACUCAGCAGUUUUACUUUGAUAAUUGGCCGCUGACUCUUUAUCAAAGCAGUUGUGAAUUACACGUAGCACCUCGUAUUAAUUAGUGGUCAACAGUCAACAACCACAAACCCCGCUUGCGGCUACCAUGAUUACAAGGUCAUAAUGCUGCUAGAAAAAGGAAAAACAUUUUAAAUUUUUUAUCCUAAAUUUUAUCUUAAAUAAUAUACUAUUUAUUGAUUGAUUAAUAAUUUUUUAUAAGAUUCAAAUAAAUUUAUUUUAUUAUUCUUACCCACUAAUUUUUUACAAGAUCAUAAUGUCACAUUAUUUAAAAUAAAUUUUUAAGAUAAAAAUUUUAAAAUACGUAGCACUAAUUAAUAGAAAAAUAUUAAAACUGAAGGUUGAAAGAGUGCUAACAGAAAUGACAAUACAUGGGAAGAGUUUAUAUGAUAAUUAAUUAUUUUUCAAUUAAUACAGUAACUCUGGUCGGAUAUGAAGUUAUUUCUUGCUGUUAAAAUCUUCUGUUUAGAUUCUCAUGAUAUUAGUGUUUUCUAUGCGCCUGAGUCAAGAAAGACUGCACGCAGCUACUUUUUAAACCUUCACUAUCUGCAAUCUUGAUCACAAAUUAACGACACUUCUAACUUUUCUCACUCUCCUUUCUCUCUUGCUGUGAGUGCUGAUUAGUUUUGAAGAUAAAGCAGCAGCCAAUAUGGCAGCAGGCUUAGCAAUAACUAGUGAAGGCGGGCGGUAUUACAACGGGAAGAUGACUGUAUUUGUUGUCUUGUCUUGUAUUGUUGCUGCCACCGGUGGGCUUAUAUUCGGCUAUGAUAUUGGAAUUUCAGGUUUUUUUUUUUUUUUUCUGCUCAUAUAUAUCACCGUCAUGAUUUACAUAUAACUCAUCAAGCACCUGAUGGUUUAAAACCUCUAGUUAUCUUUAUUCCCCAGCCGAUCAAAGACCUUGAAUUGGGGUUAGCUUACAGGGUUCCUUACAAUUGUGAAUUUGUGAAUUUGUAUGUGAUUAAGGUGGAGUGACAUCAAUGGAGCCAUUUUUGAAGAAGUUUUUCCCGGAAGUGUACAGAAAGAUGAAAGAAGACACCAAGAUAAGCAAUUAUUGCAAGUUUGACAGCCAAUUAUUAGCCGCGUUCACGUCCUCUCUGUACAUUUCUGGCCUCAUAGCUUCCUUAUUUGCCUCCACAGUCACCAGAGCCUUCGGCCGCAAGGCAUCAAUCCUGGUCGGCGGCACGGCAUUUCUUGCUGGUUCAGCCAUAGGGGGCGCUGCAUUAAACAUUUACAUGCUGAUAUUUGGGCGUGUGUUGCUAGGUGUUGGGAUUGGUUUUACAAACCAAGUAAGUGUUUUAACUAUUUUUAUUUUCAAACUGUUUGAUUUGUUGAACAAUUUUCAAUUAGUUUUGAUUUUGUUGUUUGCAGUCAGUGCCGCUAUAUCUCUCAGAAAUGGCACCACCAAAACACAGAGGAGCAUUCACCAUUGGCUUCCAAGUAUGUGUUGCCAUUGGUGUCCUAUCCGCUAAUCUUCUCAAUUACGGCACCCAAAAGAUCAAGGGGGGCUGGGGCUGGAGAAUCUCCCUGGCAAUGGCUGCUGCUCCUGCAUCAAUAUUAACAAUAGGUGGACUUUUCCUGCCCGAAACACCCAACAGCAUAAUCCAGCGCACCAAUGACUACCAAAAGGCUGAAAAGAUGCUGCAGCGUGUGCGCGGCACAGCUGAUGUUCAAGCAGAACUCGAUGAUCUCAUCAGAGCAGGCUCUGUUUCAAAAAACAUUAACCACCCAUUUAAGAAAAUCAUACAAAGAAAAUACAGACCUCAGCUAGUAAUGGCAAUACUGAUACCAUUUUUUCAACAAGUGACAGGAGUCAAUAUCAUUUCAUUCUAUGCUCCUGUACUCUUUAGGACCAUUAAGCUAAGCGAAAAUACAUCAUUACUGAUGUCUGCACUUGUCACUGGUGGUAUAGGUACAGUUUCAGCAAUCUUGCCAAUGAUUCUAGCAGAUAAACUUGGCAGGAAAGUAUUGUUUCUACUUGGGGGAAUACAGAUGCUAGUGUCACAAGUAAUGAUUGGAUCAAUCAUGGCAGCUCAACUUGGUGAUCACGGAGGAUUCAGCAUAGGCUAUGCUUACUUAAUUUUGGUUCUAAUUUGUGUAUACAAAGCUGGGUUUGGUUUUUCAUGGGGGCCAUUGGGAUGGUUGGUUCCAAGUGAAAUUUUUCCAUUGGAGAUUAGAUCAGCAGGGCAAAGCAUUACUGUUGCUGUUGGUCUUUUGUUUACUUCCUUAGUUGCUCAAACAUUUUUAGCCAUGCUUUGCCAUUUUAAGGCGGGGGUUUUCUUCUUCUUUGGAGGAUGGCUGACAGUGAUGACUACAUUUGUGCACUUUUUUCUGCCUGAGACUAAAAAUGUUCCAAUUGAGCUGAUGGAUAAAGUUUGGAGAGAGCAUUGGUUUUGGAGGAAAUUUUUUGAUGAUGUAGGGGAAGAAAGUAAGAUACAAGGAGCGGUAUGAUACAAAUUUUAAUGAAGGUUUGGAAGUACUUACAAGUGAUUAGCUAAAUUUUUAACAGUUGUGUAUUUACUUCUAGUGUAGAUACACCUGAAGUACUUUCAGAGAAAAUCAGAAGGGACUGUUACGCCAACAGGUACUAUAGUAGAGCUACUUGAAAACGGAGAAUAAAACGAAGAAAAUGCAGAAAGAAACUUCUUUUUGAGACAUAACUAUGAUUACUGCUGUAGCAAAUCUUGAGAUCUUCCAUAAUUCAGUAGUGUUAAAGUUGUUAUGGUAUUAUUGGUAUUAUCUCGGAAUGCUUCCAUAUAAAUUACGUGUGUCCUCUACAGCUCUUCUUGAAGCCGUUAUUUGCCAAUUUCAACCUGCACUCCCAGACUUCUCAGUUCCCACCAAUAAUUAUUCACUCUUUCAGCCAUGAUGCAUUCUCAAAACGAAUAAACAAUGGUUUCUCGAGAACACUUGUAAAUAAAAUCCCUUUUAUAAAAAUAUCUUAAUUUUAUUAAAAUAUUAUAAAAGAAAAUAAAUACUUAUUUGAAUAGCGUGCAGAGGGAGCAUUGGUUUUGUGGGGUAGUGGAUGACUUGAGUUAUUAAUCUUAGCUUAAUAUGGCAAAUAUUUGCAGGGCAAACAUCAGAGAAAAAUGUUACCAUUUCAUUGAUAAUGCUUGAAAAAACGAAAUGGCGAAUACAAAAGUAGUUUGUAUAUGCAUACAAAUAGGGCAAGCUGUAAGAUAAGAUCGGCUCACUAAAUUCAGCCUCUGCUGGCACAAAUCCAGCCGUCAGUUAUCAUCUAGGAUUCUCUCCUAUGCAUAUGCUGAUUGCUGAGGCUGCUCUGUGCAGUUGUUUGGCCAUGUCACUGUUGCCACUUCGCUUGCUGACUUAUUUUGCUUCACAGAUACUGCGGCUUCCUCGGCAUGUUAACUGUAUUAUUAUUAAGUGUGCUUCUUGGUUAGUAUGUGUUGAUUCUUCACAGCAGCUAUUAUUAUCAAUAUGAUAUUUAUAAAGUAAUUAUUCAAUCAAGAAAUCUUUUAUUUUUGUGAAGUGAAAAAUAAAUUAAAAAAAAAAAAGAAAGGCAAGGACUAUAUAUAUUCAAAAAUUAACUUUAUUAAGCGGCAUGGCUUAGAAGUAUGUUUGCAUGAAAAAAAAAAUGACUUGCAUAUAUGGAGUCCUUUUGUAGUGCGAGCGACCUCUUUUUUUUUUCAUGUGAACAUGUUAUAAGAUUCCAAUUAAGAGAGUUAAUUUUUAAUACUAUUAAAUUGUAGAGCUUUAUAUUUCAUUCAAAAAUAAUCCCGUUAAACCCCAUAGCCUAAAGUGUAUCCACAUUAAAAAAAAAAAAAGAACACGUCCGCACAUGAGAAUGACUGUAUAUUUAUUGGUGAAUGACUGUAUAUUUAUUGGUAUUCAAGUUUUAAUAUUUAUGCUAUGAAUUCUGUUAUUUUGACUACUAAUUGCAAAUUUUGGGGCUUUAAGCAAAAUCAAACAGACGGCACACCAACUUUGACUUGUCAAUUCAUCAUAGUUGAUUAUUUUGUAAGAGAUUCUGCACUUGAAAAGCUGGUGAUUCUACUUGACUUCGAAAGCUCAAUAACUAAAUAUUUGGUAACACUCGCUAUUCUAAUCUUUUGAUAAUUAGCAAGUGACUCUUCUUCCAGAGUAGUAGUACACAACACCUCAAUUGAUGGCUAUAGGCGCAAAGCAUUGAUAUUUCAGGGUUAUUGAUCCAAUAUUUUAUACUUAUAAUGGAUUUUGUUGAUGCCGAAAAACGACAUCAAUGGCUGAAUUUGUUUCUUUUGAGGAAUUACAGUGUGAAUCCAAGCUCAAACGCAAGUCUGAUCGCAACUUUCUAUAUCUGCCAACCAGAAAACAUGGUUAGGACACGCCGGUGGGAUUCCGGCGUAGACCCUCCGAUGCUUAAGUAAGAAAUUAUGUAUAAAAUGAGAAAAAUGAGAAUGAAGAAUUAUGAAUGAGUUAAAGUCAAGUAAUUUUCCGGUAGAGGGGCUGAACAUCUUGUAGAAGCUUUGGUUGAUUUUGCUAACCCUUUCACCUGAUGCGCUCUUCAAUUUAAAUAGACUCUUGGUCGUGUACGGUUACCUCCUUAAUUUCAGCCCGCUUUCUUCAACAGUUGCAAGUGGUUGUCAGUUGGAGAUGGUUUAAAUAGAUCGUGACACACAACUUCCCUAUAAAUUAGGUCACGUUCUCUUAACUAGCAAUUUUUCAUGUCAAGCUAAUUCUCAGGUCGGAUUACUUCACUUUCAGAUCAUACAGAUGAAUUUCUCAGUCGCUCAUAUAGCGUUGAGAUUGUAUUCUUAAAUUAGGUCAUUCACAUAGAUCUUAGGUCAUACUUGUAAAUCAGGUCGCCAACAUAGGCUCCAGGUUGUACUUAUGAGGUCAGUUCAACAACCAGAGGUGGCAAAAAUACCCGCCAAGUCCAGAUCAGGACCGUACCCAGGUGUUCUGGGCCGGGUAUGAAGCGGGGUCGGUCUUGGGCAUCACUUGAUAAAUCCGGAACCCGAAUUUUAUUAAAAAAAUAUUAUAAAAUAUACAUUAUUUUAAAUAUUUAUAUUUAUUUGACUCAUUUGUUAUACAUAUAUAAAGUUUUAAACACUUAAAGUUUAUAUUUUCAUGUCAAAUUUUAUUGAAAUAAAUUUAAAACUUAUAAAAUUACUAAAAAAUAAAAAAUAUAUACACAUAUAAUAUUAAAAAAUAUAAAAUUCGGGUACCCGGAUUAAAACCCGGCCCGGACCCGGACCCGGACCAGUUGCAUCCAGGCAGGGUCCGGUCAUUACAAUACCUGGACCCGGCCUGAGGUUUUGCCAUCCCUAUCAACAACAAUAAGUUCUGAAUAGAUUAGGAUCGACUAUAUUUUGAGACACUACCAGAAAAAUCCAACCCAAACAGAUUUCCCGAAGCACUACAUCUUGAAUUUUCCAAUGAGUUACUCAGCAGCUGCUAUUUCUAUCUUGACUCCGUACGCUUUCACAAAAAUUAGUUCUUCAAUAAUCAACAACCCCACGCAUAUAUUGCCACGUGUUUUUAUUUUCUUAAUUUGUUUAUUUAUUUAUCAAGGCACGUACAUUAGUGAAAUGUGAACACGGACCUUGGCCUCAAAGCACACGCUGCCAUGUUGAUCAUAACUCCAAAGGCCAUGCAUGACUCACGAUGCUGAUAUUAGUGUAUACGGCUACAAGUCAAGAAAGACUGCAGCUACUUUUAAGCCUUCGCCUUCUGCAAUUAAUCUUCAACACACACACACACCGCUGUCUCUUUUCUCUUCUUUAUAUAAGUUGCUAUAAUCAGUCCUGCUUAUCAGUUUUGAAGAUUCAGUUUAGCUAUCCGCAGUCGAUAUGGCAGCAGGCUUUGCAAUAACUAGUGAAGGUGGGCAGUAUUACAAUGGGAAGAUGACUGCAUUUGUUGUCUUGUCUUGUAUUGUUGCUGCCACUGGAGGUCUUAUUUUCGGCUAUGAUAUUGGAAUUUCAGGUCUGUUUAUCUACUUAAAUUGUAUUUGUAUAUCUCUUUGUUCCUCAGCUCGAAAUUUAUUGAUUGGUUAAAUUCUCCAAUUUCUUCUUGUCGCUUCAUUCUAUCAAGCCCAUCACUGAUCUUGGAUUAACGUAUACAUAGCUAGUGGAAUGUUUUUAGAAAAUCAACCAAACUUUUGAAAAUCUUUAUCCUAUGUGCCAAGUAAAAGUGCAUGUUAAUUAUCAAAUAUUUUAGCUAUCUAGUGACUUACGAUUAGUAUUUACUAAACACUUUAGUUCGAUUGCUUAUAAAAUUAAACCGAAUUAUAACAGUUAGAAACAUAUUUGAGUUUAACAUACAUGUUCAAAAUAUACAGUAAACUGAUAUAUAUAUAUAGUGCGUAAGUCCAUCUUGUGAAAUGCAGGUUUCAGGCAGGCAAAAUAAUAAAACGUUACAAACUUCCAUGCACUGUAAAGACAAAAAUAUUGUAUUAGAGUUCAUAGUUUUUUUUUUUUUAACAAUCAUUUUGUAGAUAACUAAUGGCAAUUAACUUGCAGAAAUUAAUACGUAUCUCUUUGCUUGAGAAUUAUUAAUUACAAUCUUUCAAGGUAUGUUAUUAAUUAUACCAUAGGAGUCAAUGAAUCCUUUGGUCUCACAUGGCGUGCUUUGGCAUGAUAACUGAUAGUGACGGAUUUGACGAAAAAUGCUAUGAUUAAUAAUAGAUUGCCAAUUAAUUUGUGUGGACAGAUUUCAAUGUAACUUAAGAAGUGUUGAACUACGAUGUGAAACUUUGUAAUUUCAAAGCACCCAAAAGUUUGAAUUUUUCUCACGCGAGUCAUUGUUUUUCGUAAUUAAUAAUGAAUAAACCAAACGUUUCGAAAAUAUUAUAGUUUAAUCCUUUCUAAUAACAUUUUGCAGUCUUUGAGUCUUGACUAAGCCUUUCUGUAUGGUUAGUAAGAGCCGAUUUAAAUUCUCAAACGAAACUUAAAAAUUUAAUUGUGUAUAUUUAUGCUAAGGUGGAGUGACAUCAAUGGAGCCAUUUUUGAAGAAAUUCUUCCCAGAAGUGUACAGAAAAAUGAAAGAAGACACCAACAUUAGCAAUUACUGCAGGUUUGACAGCCAACUAUUAACCACCUUCACGUCCUCUCUAUACAUUGCUGGCCUUAUUGCCUCCUUAUUUGCCUCCUCAGUCACCAGAGCCUUCGGCCGCAAGGCAUCAAUUCUUGUCGGCGGCACAGCUUUUCUUGCUGGUUCAGCCCUCGGAGGCGCUGCAUUUAACAUUUACAUGCUUAUAUUUGGGCGGGUGUUGCUUGGCGUUGGCAUUGGUUUUGCAAACCAAGUAAGUGUUUGGUUAUUUUAUUUUUUCCAAGCAUUUGAUUUGCUCAACAAUUUUCAAUUGGUUUUAAUUUGCUGGUUGCAGUCAGUGCCACUGUAUCUCUCAGAAAUGGCACCACCAAAAAACAGAGGAGCGUUCAACAUUGGCUUCCAAGUAUGUGUUGCCAUUGGUGUCCUAUCCGCUAAUCUUCUCAAUUACGGCACCCAAAAGAUCAAGGGGGGCUGGGGCUGGAGAAUCUCCCUGGCAAUGGCUGCUGCUCCUGCAUCAAUAUUAACAAUAGGUGCACUUUUCCUGCCAGAAACACCCAACAGCAUAAUCCAGCGCAGCAAUGACCACCAAAAGGCUGAAAGGAUGCUGCAGCGUGUGCGUGGCACAGCUGAUGUUCAAGCAGAACUCGAUGAUCUCAUCAGAGCAGGCUCUGUUUCAAAAAACAUUAACCACCCAUUUAAGAAAAUCAUACAAAGAAAAUACAGACCUCAGCUAGUAAUGGCAAUACUGAUACCAUUUUUUCAACAAGUGACAGGAGUCAAUAUCAUUUCAUUCUAUGCUCCUGUACUCUUUAGGACCAUUAAGCUAAGCGAAAAUACAUCAUUACUGAUGUCUGCACUUGUCACUGUCAGGCUAUGCUUACUUAAUUUUGGUUCUAGUUUGUGUAUAUACUACUGGGUUUGCUUAUUCAUGGGGGCCAUUGGGAUGGUUGGUUCCAAGUGAAAUUUUUCCACUAGAGAUUAGAUCAGCUGGGCAGAGCAUUACUGUGGCAGUCGGUCUUUUGUUUACUUUCUUGGUUGCUCAAACAUUUUUAGCCAUGCUUUGCCAUUUUAAGGCAGGGAUUUUCUUCUUCUUUGGAGGAUGGGUGGCAUUUAUGACGACAUUUGUGCACUUCUUUUUACCUGAGACAAAAAAUUUACCAAUUGAGCAGAUGGAUAAACUGUGGGUAGAGCAUUGGUUUUGGAGGAGAAUAGUUGGGGAAGGAGUGGAAGACAGUAAGAUACAAGAAGCACUAUAAUACUUGUAAGGGAUACCAGGAAACAAUAAACUCAUCACUUUUUCCAAAGGCUGGCUAGCUGCUCUUUCUUCUUGCUCUGAUAGUGAAGCCAAAUAAAACUCCAAGCUCUGAUGUUAAUUCUUCAAAAUAUUUGUAACAGCCCCACAUGCUACUAUAAUAAUAUAUAUUUUUUUUUUAUCAUAGUGUUCCAUGUUGAUCAUAUGGUGAUGCUGAUAUUAUUGUCUACGCCUACAUAAUUCAAGAGAGAGAGAGAGAGAUCCUCUUACUUUAUUAAGCCUUCACUAUCUGCAAAAUUUUGAACACACUACUCUGUCUUCUCGUGUCGUCUUUCUCUUGCUGUGAGUGCUGAUCAGUUUUGAAGAUUAAGCAGCAGCAGAUAUGGCGGUGGGCUUAGCAUUUACUAGUGAAGGUGGUGGGCAAUAUUACAAUGGGAAGAUGACUCCAUUUGUUGUCCUGUCAUGUAUUGUUGCUGCCACUGGAGGUCUUACUUUCGGCUAUGAUCUUGGAAUUUCAGGUUUGUUUCUGCACAUUUGUAUCUCCUUAAUGAUAUUUAUACAAUCCAAUUGGCUUGAUCAAUCUCGUUCCUCAAAUUACCUUGAUUCUGUUCAAUUCUCUCACCGAUCAAUGAUCUCGGAUUAAGCUAUAGCUAGCGGACUUUCUUAGGCUCUCUAUAGCACUCUUGUUGUCUAACAGCAGCUAUAAAAUGGCUGGCAAAUAUUCAUAACCAUAGUUUGGGAAGUUCAAGUGAUUCUACUAUACAAUUGUUUGAUAAAAUACCUAUGUUAUCCCUAAUAUUUUUGUCCAAAUUAUUGUUUAAAUUCAUGUUUAUAAAAAAAAAUAAAAAAUCUAUUUCACAGCAGUUUGACAUAAAAAAUUUCUCUCCUAAUCUCUCGUAGUGAAAUAAGUGGCCAAGAUUGAAUUUUAAAUUUUGAUAUUAACAAUUAAACCAGCUUUGUUUAUUUUAUUACAAUUAAAACAACUUUUUUUUUAUUAAAUUUAAAAGACUAGGAGAGACUGGGAGAGAAAAACACUAGGAGAAGAUACUAAUUCGAAAAAAUCAUACCACCACAAUUCCAAACAGAGGCUUAGUUGUUAACUUGUUACUGUUUUACUUUAGUUACAAUUAAAAGUAGGGAAAUUGUCAGUUUUCUUAUUACUAAAGUCAAUAUAUACCUUCUUGUCCUAAUGGGUAUGGUCUUAUUCUUGAUGAUUGUCUAGCUUUAGCUAAGUCUAUAGGAGAUAUUGAGUUCUCUUUUGUUCAAAGGUCUGCGAACACUGCCGCCCAUGUUACUGCUCGGGUGGGGGGUUCUUUGUCAGGCUUUGAGGAGUGGAAUCAUGUUCCACCUCCUUGGUUAUUUACUUCUCUGUAAUCUUUGCCCUUUAAUGAAGUUUCCAGUUUCAAAAAAAAAAAAAAGAGCCCUUCAUAUCUCCACUUUCGUGAAAUUGCACAAAAGGCCAUAAAUGGAUGGUAGAAGAAAAAGUUGAUCAUCAUCCAUCACGAAGAAAAUCUCGCAUGGAGUUGCUUUAUGCUGGCUCCCAAUAAUUGUUUGACCGGAUGAAAUUCCUACGUAUUUCUGGACCUGUCUACGAUACAGAUUCUGUAACAAACAUCACCCAUCAUCCCACCAUCCCAUUUUCUAUUGUUUAGUUUCUCACUCCGCAUCCAACCACAUCCAACGGCUGAUACUGCAGUCUGUAGCUUACGGAUUCUGUAAGCUAGUCAAGUCCCGUAUUUCUUUCAUUCAUUUCCCAUAAAUUUUGAAAUAAAUAAAUUUCAAUUUCUAAGUAUUUGAGGCCGGCCACGUACAAAAUCAAUUGGGCAUGCCCUGAUAUUGCCUCGAAGUCACGUAGUGCAGAAGUGAAGCCAUUUUAGGGUAUGUAUUAAAAAAGAUAAAGAUCCUCUCCUAAUCUGGGCUCUCAUAAGCUUUUAAUAAUCGUUUAUCAUGUGUAUUUAAGUGAUAGUCUAUUAAUAUAAUUUGACUUCUUCAUUUUCUUUACUUAUUAACUACCAAUCACCCAUAUAUAUUUUUGUUCAGGAAUAAAUCAGAUCAUGAGAGAAUCUUAAUCCUUUAAAAAAACCCAAUAAAAAAUAAUUUUCAAAUGAGAAAACAUCGAAUUAAUGAUAAAUAUAAAUUUAUAGAAAAUAAUUUAAAAUAUUAUUAAUAAAAAAAUUUAAAGAUAUUAAAAUAAAUUAUGAAUAAUAAUAUUAAUAGUUAACUUAAUCUUAAUUAUUCUCAGCAGAGUUCUAUUGCUCUAUUUCUUGAUAUGUUUUUACAUACUGUAGGAGUCAACGAAUCCCUUGGUAUCACAAAGCUUGCUUGGCAUGAUAGUGACGGAUUUGAAAAUGAUUGCAAGGAUCAUUAUUAAUAGAUUUCCAACUAUUUGCUUUUGACAGAUAUCAAGGUUUACUUUUUCAGUAGCCCUGAGACGAAGGGAAAAAUACAAAAACGUGCAACAAGUAGUUGCAUGUCCGUUUCUUAUAAAAAGGAUCACGUAAACUUGAAAACAUCAACCUACUUGUUUAAUUAAUUUUGGUGAAUACAAAGGAAAAAGACAAAAAAAGAAAAAGAAAAAGGAAUGGAUAGGUAUGAAAGAAUCGUGCAUUUGAGUAAAAUUUUCUACCGAAUUUAAAAUAUUGACUUGUGAAGGUGGAGUGACAUCGAUGGAACCAUUUCUGAAGAAAUUCUUCCCAGAAGUGAACAGAAAUAUUGACUUGUGAAGGUGGAGUGACUUUCUACCGAAUUUAAAAUAUUGACUUGUGAAGGUGGAGUGACAUCGAUGGAACCAUUUCUGAAGAAAUUCUUCCCAGAAGUGUACAAAAACAUGAGAGAAGACACCAAUGUUAGCAACUACUGCAAGUUUAACAGCCAACUAUUAACCACCUUCACCUCCUCUCCAUUCAUUGCUGGCCUUAUUGCUUCCUUAUUUGCUUCCAAAGUCACGAGAGCCCUCGGCCGCAAGGCAUCAAUCCUGGUCGGUGGCGUGGCUUUUCUAGCCGGCUCAGCCCUCGGCGGUGCUGCAUUUAACGUGUACA
rnacentral:lncRNA from 1 species